ACCCAUUCAGAAACCACCUACCACAUUUUGAGCAUGAUAAUUGUACCAUACAUAAUCCCUAAAUACUGCCAUUCAGAAACCAUCUACAACAUUUUGAGCAUUCCUGCCAUCUGAAUCAGAAAGAAAAGACCUCACAGAAGCCUGAAGGCACAACAAUUUUAUCCAUUACAUGUUUGUCCAGCAUUCACAAUCAACUCAAGACAAAUCUUAUUUAUAGCCACAAAUAACCAAAACACAUAUGAAUCUCCAUUCCAUUACUGUUGUUUUUCCUC
rnacentral:lncRNA from 1 species